GAUGAACGCUGGCGGCGUGCCUAAUACAUGCAAGUCGAGCGAACAGACGAGGCGCUUGCUCGUCUGACGUUAGCCGCGGACGGGUGAGUAACACGUGGAUAACCUACCUAUAAGACUGGGAUAACUUCGGGAAACCGGAGCUAAUCCUGGAUAAUCUAUUGAACCGUAUGGUUCAAUAGUGAAAUACGGUUUUGCUGUCACUUAUAGAUGGCUCCGCGCCGCAUUAGCUAGUUGGUACGGUCACGGCUUACCAAGGCAACGAUGCGUAGCCGACCUGAGAGGGUGGUCGGCCACACUAGAACGGAGACGCGGUCCAGACUACUACGGGAGGCAGCAGUGGGGAAACGUCCGCAAUGGGCGGAAGCCUGACGGAGCAACGCCGCGUGAGUGAUAGAAAUCUUCGGAUCGGAAAACUCUGUUACUAGGGAAGAACAAAUGUGUAAGUAACGAUGCACUGCUUGACGGUACCUAAUCAAAAAGCCACGGCUAACUACGUG
rnacentral:rRNA from 1 species